GAAUAUAGACAAAAUUUUAGUAUCGUUCGUUAGCGAAUUUUCACGGUUUUUUCAAUACUAAAUUGAAAAAAAGUGAUACUUCUAAGCCGAAUUUCGAACAUCGGUCAAUUCCAAACGAAAGAGCAUACUUUUUUCUAUAUAAUGGCAUAUUCUUUAGAGAUCUUUUCUAAAUAGUUAAAAUUUUAUUUAGAAUAUAGACAAAAUUUUAGUAUCGUUCGAUAGCGAAUUUUCACGGUUUUUUCAAUUUAAAUUGAAAAAAAGUGAAAUUUCUAAGCCGAUUUUCGAACAUCUGAACAUUUCAAACGAAAGAGCAUACUUUUUUCUAUAUAAUGGCAUAUUCUUUAGAGAUCUUUUCUAAAUAGUUAAAAUUUUAUGAAGAAUAUAGACAAAAUUUUAGUAUCGUUCGAUAGCGAAUUUUCACGGUUUUUUCAAUUAUAAAUUGAAAAAAAGUGAUAUUUCUAAGCUGAUUUUCGAACAUCUGACCAUGCCAAACGAAAGAGCAUACAUUUUUCUAUAUAAUGGCAUAUUCUUUAGGGAUCAUUUCUAAAUAGUUAAAAUUUUAUGAAGAAUAUAGACAAAAUUU